UACAGAGGGUGCGAGCGUUAAUCGGAAUUACUGGGCGUAAAGCGUGCGUAGACGGUUAUUUAAGUCGGAUGUGAAAGCCCCGGGCUCAACCUGGGAAUUGCAUUCGAGACUGAAUAGCUAGGGUACGGUAGAGGGAAGCGGAAUUUCCGGUGUAGCGGUGAAAUGCGUAGAUAUCGGAAGGAACAUCAGUGGCGAAAGCGGCUUCCUAGACCAGUACCGACGUUCAGGCACGAAAGCGUGGGGAGCAAACAGG
rnacentral:rRNA from 1 species